rnacentral:rRNA from 1 species
GACGAACGCUGGCGGCGUGCCUAAUACAUGCAAGUCGAACGCACUCUCGUUUAGAUUGAAGGAGUUUGCUCCUGAUUGAUAAGCAUUUGAGUGAGUGGCGGACGGGUGAGUAACACGUGGGUAACCUGCCCUAAAGUGGGGGAUAACAUUUGGAAACAGAUGCUAAUACCGCAUAAAACCUAACACCGCAUGGUGUAGGGUUGAAAGAUGGUUUCGGCUAUCACUUUAGGAUGGACCCGCGGUGCAUUAGUUAGUUGGUGAGGUAAAGGCUCACCAAGACCGUGAUGCAUAGCCGACCUGAGAGGGUAAUCGGCCACACUGGGACUGAGACACGGCCCAGACUCCUACGGGAGGCAGCAGUAGGGAAUCUUCCACAAUGGACGAAAGUCUGAUGGAGCAACGCCGCGUGAGUGAAGAAGGUUUUCGGAUCGUAAAACUCUGUUGUUGGAGAAGAAUGUAUCUGAUAGUAACUGAUCAGGUAGUGACGGUAUCCAACCAGAAAGCCACGGCUAACUACGUG